AACGAACGCUGGCGGCGUGUUUAAGACAUGCAAGUCGCACGGGACUAUUUGAGUAGCAAUACAAGAAUAGUCUAGUGGCGCACGGGUGAGUAACACGUGAAUUACAUGCCCUGCAGAGGGGGAUAGCCCAGGGAAACUUGGAUUAAUACCCCAUGGUAUCGCGAGAUUAAAGGUGGCCUUAUGAAAGUAAGGCUGUCGCUGCAGGAUUGGUUCGCGCCCUAUCAGCUUGUUGGUGAGGUAACGGCUCACCAAGGCUACGACGGGUACCUGGUCUGAGAGGACGAUCAGGCACACUGGAACUGAGACACGGUCCAGACACCUACGGGUGGCAGCAGUCGAGAAUAAUUCACAAUGGGGGCAACCCUGAUGGUGCAACGCCGCGUGGAGGAUGAAGGUCUUCGGAUUGUAAACUCCUGUCAUCCGGGAGUAAGACCCGGCGAUGAAUAGUCGACAGGGUUGAUAGUACCGGAAGAGGAAGGGACGGCUAACUUCGUGCCAGCAGCCGCGGUAAUACGAAGGUCCCGAGCGUUGUUCGGAAUCACUG
rnacentral:rRNA from 1 species